UACGGAGGGAGCUAGCGUUAUUCGGAAUUACUGGGCGUAAAGCGCACGUAGGCGGCUUUGUAAGUCAGAGGUGAAAGCCUGGAGCUCAACUCCAGAACUGCCUUUGAGACUGCAUCGCUUGAAUCCAGGAGAGGUGAGUGGAAUUCCGAGUGUAGAGGUGAAAUUCGUAGAUAUUCGGAAGAACACCAGUGGCGAAGGCGGCUCACUGGCCCGAUACUGACGCUGAGGUGCGAAAGCGUGGGGAGCAAACAGG
rnacentral:rRNA from 1 species